UUGACGUCAUGCUCAGGGUGGGAAGUUCGAGUUCUGUACGGUUGUGUUUGUAUCAGUUACGAAUAUGUCUGCUGUGUGCCUGGGUGUAAUUCCUACUACAAAAGACGGGAAAAAGACAAAACACGUUCGUUCCACCGGUUCCUGACAGUCACCAGAUUGAAGAGAGAGUGGAUUUCAAAAAUUAGAAGAGACAUCGGUACAUUUUUCCAGCAAUGAACCUGCUGGAGAGACAGAAGAUGCCAGUGUAAGCUUAGACCUGGCUGGAGUUGACACUGGUGCAGACCAAGUUGUUAAGCCAGCACCCCACUCUGACCAUGACUAUGCUGAACUCUCGGUCACUGGAAGAGCAGCUAGAAGCAGCACGGAAGGAGAUCGCCCGCCUUACGCAGGAGAAUACCAUCCUCAUCCUGUUUCAGCUUGAAGCAAAAAUGAUUCAAAGUUCUUGACAUUCUACACUGGAUUUCGGAGGUGCUGACCUGUUCAUUCCCCAGAGGAUUCCCACCCUGAGCAUGACGUCAUAGAAAGAUGGCCGCCGUGUGAAUAUGGUGAAUAGACACCAAGAGUUCAUGAGUGAUGAUGCACUGAACUGAACAUCGCGAGACUUUUGGGUGAGAUCCAAAAUGGCAGCGCACUGAACACUGACGCUUUACUGAAAACUUUAUUUUUCUUCUACUAAAAACAACCACUACCUCUCUACAACUCUCAUCAAAAACCGGAUUAUAUUCUCCAUCUUUUCCAACGGCAACCUCUUCAUUCUGGACGUUAUGUCAUCUGAACCCAGCAAGAAACGCACUCGUGACUACUCAACAGAGACUGAACCAGAAUCACCUACCGCUUGCGCUACUUCUACAUCCAUCGAGGUCAGUUUACUACAAUCCAUAAACAACAAACUUGCAAUACUGGAACAUCUGCACGCAGAUAUUAAGGACUUAAAAGCCAGCCUCGAAUUUUCCCAAUCACAGAUCGACACACUCGCAUUAGAAAACCGUGAACUCAAAGGAAGUAUUACAAAUUUAUCCGACCAUGUUAAUCAACUCACCAGCGAAAAUCGGAUCAUGAAAGAAACAAUCCUAGACCUCCAGUGCCGCAGCAUGCGCGAUAACCUCAUUUUUUCCGGAAUUCCCCUGCCGACUUCUAAAGAUACACCCGACGACCCAGAGAAAGCAGUUAAAGAAUUCUUGCAGUCAUCUCUCAAACUACCGCCAGAAACAGUUGACAAGAUUACCUUCCACCGUGUACACCGUCUCACUUCCAAAGACAAUAAAAAAAACCUCCUCCAAUUAUCGCCAAGUUCGAACACUUCAAACACAAAGAACUCAUCAAAAGCAAAGGGAAAGAACUGAAAGGCACUUCAUUCGGACUAAACGACCAAUUCCCACAAGUAAUACAGGAAAGAAGAAGAGCCCUCUUGCCCAUAAUGAAACAACUCAGGCAAGAGGGCAAACGAGCAGCACUGUCAGUCGAUAAACUAUGUCAAUGGAACUCUGUAUCGCAACCCCAAUAUCACCACCUGGCUAUAGCACAUCAUACCUCAUGCCAACAUUCAUCUUGAUUAUAAUAUUGUCACCCUCAACUCUCUCUAACCCACUGCCUACUGAUGCUUGGAUCACCUCUCUCUUCUCUCUUCUUAUGUUUCAUUCCUUUUGCUCCCCCUACCCACCCAUUCUCUUUUGCUCUCUCAAUGUUUAAUGUUAUUCAUGGUGUUUUGUCUAUACAUGUUUGCUUGUGUGUCCUGUCUGUUUUUGUUUAUUAUGUCUAUAGGCUAAAGUCAAAUUAUGAUCUGUAUGUUUUCAAUGCUAAACAGGAAAUGUUCAUGCUGUCACCACUCCAGAACCAAAUUCCUACCUCUUUAUGCUCUAUAUUCUUCUCAGCCCCUACCCUUUACAUCUCAUUCGCACACCACAUUACACACCUAUUCCUCCACCCCCCCUUCCCCCUCUCCUAUCUAACUGACACCUGCACACACUCUCACACACACAAUACCCACCUUAUCAAACAUUUUCAUAACUGUACAAUCACAACAUGGUACCACUUACAUUCCUGACCUGGAACAUCCGUGGGAUUGGAUCUCAGGCAAAGAGGCUCAAAAUCUUAAAUCAUUUGGAUAGUUUAAAAGCUGACAUAUGUCUCCUACAAGAAACUCAUCUCUCAGAAUUAGACUACACCCGCAUCAAAUCAAGACAAUUCAAUCACAUUUUC